rnacentral:rRNA from 1 species
GUACACACCGCCCGUCGCUCCUACCGAUUGAGUGAUCCGGUAAAUGAUUUGGACCGCGUUUGGCCAGCAAUGGUACAGAUGCGGGAAGUUUCGUAAACCUUAUCACUUAGAGGAAGGAUAAGUCGUAACAAGGUUUCUGUAGGUGAACCUGCAGAAGGAUCA